rnacentral:lncRNA from 1 species
CAGCGGCCGCGACAGCUGCAGCAGCAGCGGCGGUUCUUCUCAGUGCCCUUGCCCUGCUCUGGACGGCCGUGGAUACUGCCUGUGGUGUCGCUCCUGCAAGGUGGCGUCUACGCCGCUGCUCGGGUGACCGGCUUGAUUUUUUCCUGGAGGCGACAGCAGCAGGGCUCUGGUCCGGUGUGGUGGCGUGAGGCCGGGAUCUCCCUCUCUCAGGCGCUCCGGGUCUCAUAGGCCCCAGAAGGCGGCGAGUCGAAGCCGCGCUGCUCUCCCUGACUCGCGGGCAUCAGCCCGGGGGAAGCCGAACUCAGGCGGCCAGCCCGUGGAUGCCGACGGUGCACCUUUCAAGCGGGGUUCCUGCAGCCGUGAUGGAUGGAUCGAACGCCCACCCUCUCCGACCCCGUCCCGGGGGCGGCCGGACCCUAUAUCUGUCUGUGUUAUUUCUACGAAGACCACAGUCCUAGGAGGUGAAGGCUCCCAGCCUAGCUGAGUUGGAAUCGUGAUCGUGGUGGUGGUGCAUUAAUUCUGGAAAUAUGCGGGUGCUGCUGGACUUGCCUCUUUUUCCCCCUUUUGGCGAUGGUUUUGAUGCCUCCCUGGUAGUCGGGAUAAGGCCUGUAGGCGACGCUGUGCGAGCGAGGAGCGGGUAGCUCUGGCGCUGCGAUCUAGGUUGUGGGUGGAGCCCAGGCCAUCCGGACGCCGGACACCAGAGCUCGGAGACCGGCGCACUUCAAAACGUCGUUUUCUUCUUUAUGUUUGAAAACUCAGAGGCUCUGGACAAGGCUGGAGUACAAAAUGUGAACACGCACAGAGUACCGUGCCCGUUCGUAGUGUCUUACUGUAAAACAGGAGGUCAUUUCAUCGCCACACUGUUCUCUCUCUCUCUCUCUCUCUCUCUCU